GGUCCCAUGGUGUAGCGGUUAGCUCUAAGGACUUUGAAUCCUGCGAUUGGAGUUCAGAUCUCCCUGGGACCU
rnacentral:tRNA from 1 species